UACGUAGGUGGCAAGCGUUGUCCGGAUUUACUGGGUGUAAAGGGCGUGCAGCCGGGCUGACAAGUCAGAUGUGAAAGCCCGCGGCUCAACUGCGGUAGUGCAUUUGGAACUGUAUGGCUGGAGUGCAGGAGAGGCAGGCGGAAUUCCUAGUGUAGCGGUGAAAUGCGUAGAUAUAAGGAAGAACACCAGUGGCGAAGGCGGAUUACUGGACGAUAACUGACGGUGAGGCGCGAAAGCGUGGGGAGCAAACAGG
rnacentral:rRNA from 1 species